AUUGCAUGUUUACCAAUUAAGCCACGCAGGCACAGCGGAAACCGCUUCCCACAACUCUCUGCCAUUUUUCCAUGAACUAUUUGCCAUUUAAGGAAAUGACUACUAACUAUUACUCAUUCAAAACCCUAACAGAUGGUGUUCCAAACAACUUUUACGGAAGGUGUGAUGUGUUCUAACCUCCCAGCUCUUAGGCUGUCACCAUCAGUCUGGGGUAGAAGUGUGACAGCCUACUGCUGUGGGAGGCCAGCCAAGCUGAAGAGAAAGACUGCCUAUGGGGAAGGCAUUACUAAUGGAUGCAUGAUCUGCCCUUACUUUUCUUGUUCUCUCUUGCUCAGCAUUUAUACACCCUUACUGACUCUGCCUUUGGAAUACUGGUGCUUUUUUGCACCACAGAAAUUAAAGAUUUGGCAAGUUGAAGUCCCAUCCUCCAGCCCAGAAGUUGUGUUUCUUGAACUGUAAUCUUGGAUUCUUACUACUCAACUUUCCUAUAGAGCAGCAAUAUUUUAUUUUGUCAAACAAAUUGAUGGAAUGUGGCUGAAACUUUCUAGAAGACAUGCCUGCUUGGCCAUAGGCUGAUUAGAACUUCAAUGAUUUUAGAAGGUUUAGAGUGUUACAAAUCCAGAUCUAAAUAUCCUGGGCCAAUCACUAGCUCCUAUAGCUGUUUGCUACCCUCCUCUACUUGGAUUGUACAAAUAAAACACUAACUUCCACUAACCAAGGGGCUAAGAGAACAGUCAGGUAACACUUGGGGCCCAUAGCCCAGAUACUCCUGCUCUUAUAGACUGGCUAUUUAAUGUUUCUGCUAAUAUAUUUUAAAGGUGCUUUGAUUUAUGUUUCUCUUUACUAUGUUACUUUGAAAUAUCAUGUAACAUGGUAUUUGGGAAAAGCCAGUCCCUCAAUUUAGCUUCAGAAUGCACUACUUUUAUUACCAUUGAGGUGAGAGUUGUGUUUUGUAUUGAUGGGAUGGCUGUAAAUACAUUUAAAAAACAAUGUUGAACACACGAAUGCAUGCACCAAUGCAGCAAGAUCUUAAAUUAACUGUAGCAGAUAAGGAAAUAUCAAUUUGAUUGCCUCUAUCUAAAAAGAUAGUGGAAGUCUAGUAGCAGAGGUAUAAUACAUAAAUUAAGAAUGCUGUAAGACUUCAUCUAGAAGACUGGAUACUUCUUUAUGGAAGAAGGCUACCUAUGCUUGUUUGAGUCAUGUAAAAAUUGUGGACUUGGUGGAUGAGUCUCCAAGUGGUGAAGACAUCAGGCAAGAAGGCAGGCAAAGAAGAUCUGAGAGAGCCUCCUGGAAGAAAAUGGAACAUGCCCUGCCUAUGAAUAACCAUUCAGCCUCAAUGCUCUGCUCAUCUCUCCUUUUACCUCAUUGGAAAUACACAUUGUUAUCAGAAACUCAA
rnacentral:lncRNA from 1 species